ACUUUGCUGCCUUGAAAAAAAAAAACGUGACAUUCUCAACAGUCAAAAGUUGUUACUCAAGAAAGUCUCUCGUGAAUCCUUGGAGUAUCACACCAUCAGAGAAACUACAAAUGGAAAUGGCUGGAAAAUGGCAUCUGGUCUUCAGGCGUGGGGAAAGAAGAUUUAGUGACAUGAUUUCCUGGUCAAUUGGUGGCUUUCCAGGGGUGCCAAUUUGCCAUAGACUGUGGGUCUGGCCAACUGACUCAUUUUGUCCCCGCAUCCCACCUUCCUCAUGGCACAUGGUCUUUUCCUGGAUGGUGGUGGUUUUUUUUCUUCCAUUUAAUGAGAAAGUAGUAAGGAAAAACCAACUCAGGCCAUGAGAUCAACUUUUAAUCUUCUGUGGAAAGCCUCAAAACAGGAAAUGCACACCUCUGAUCAAGAGAAGGAUGAACACGUUUUGUAAAACUGAUUUCCUUUGGGUCCAUCUUCCUUUUCUGAAACAAAAAAAUAACUAAAAUGAUUUAUAGAGCAGCCAAAUAUCUUCUUCUACCUAGAGUUCAUAGAGAUAUGUAUUUUUCUCAUGAGACAAGAAAAUUCAUUUUCUUAUACAUGUUCUAUUUUAUGACCUAGCAUUUCCCAUCGAACAAAAGGAUCUUAGUGAAAACCAGGGGAGCAAACCUAAAUAACACCAUUAGUGGUGAAUGGGAGCUCCAUUGCCUUAAGCAAACAACCCUGGGCAAAAUCAGUUCUC